rnacentral:lncRNA from 1 species
GGUGUCGUGAAACAUUAGAAGUCAUUCAAUCACAUUCCGUAUCCGUCUCCUCACAUCCGUGAGAAGGCAUCUGUCAUGGGGCUGUGUCCUUGCUUCUUGGAGGAGCUGGCUCCGAUUUGAAAAUGUUAUACUGUGCUGCCUUUGCCUGUCUCUCUUUGGUGGGAGGUUUGAGAUUAGCACACACACCCACCACUCUGACACUAAGAUUGCUCUCUUAUCUCACUUAGUAAAAUAACUGAAACUGAUAGUUGUCCGUUUGGGAGAUUCAUCAGGAUUUAUUCUAAUUCUAUUUCCCUUACAAAUUACUGAGGUCUACAGGUAUGGACAGAGAAUAGCUCUCACCAUGCAGUAGCUGUAUUUUCUACCCUCAGUGUUCCAGAAGCCCUUUCUUGGUAGUGAGUGGAGAAGUCGAUGAAGAGAGAGGCUUCUAUGUGUCUAUUCCCUGCUUGCCAUACUAUGGAAAUGGAAUUUUUGAGUUUUGGAGCAGAUGCCAUCUGCUGGAUAUUCAAGAUACUACAACACAAAUUUAUAGGGCCAGAAAACACAAUGAACAGCCUGAUAGCUAAAUUAAGUAAACUCUACUUCCAUGGCCCCAGGUAGAUUGGAAACUCUCUAACCGUAAAGUGUCAAUAUUUGAACUUUAUUUUUCGGAUUAGAAUCAAUCUUGUCUUUGCUAUCUGUGCUCAGUGUUAGAUCCCAGAAUUUGUCAUUUAGUUUGAAGGCAUGGGAACACAGGUAAAAUUCCUGCUCCUGUUUCAAGAAGGAAUAAAUCCACAAAGAUGCACUCAAAGGCUUCUAAAAUUAAAGCUAGGGGCAAUGUAAAAAAAUAGAGAGAGCGAAUGUGGGGAGGGGGAAUGGGCUUCUGUGGGCAUAAAGGGCAAACAUAAAAGUGAAACAAUGUGUAAAACAUCAAUACAGGCUAAGCAGAGGUUCCUUCCUCUGAGACUUGAACUCCAUUUUCUCCACACUGCUCCUGUUAGGGAACUAUAUGAUAAAGCCUUUGUAGAUCUGUCUUAGAAUUUUCUAUUAUAGUCAUAUUGGCUGGAAUACCUGUUAAGCCUGGCCCCGCCUUGGGUUUCCUUAGCUGGUUGAAUAAAUCAUUUCACGUUUUGGAGACUCAAUCUUCCCACUUGUUAGACAUGAAGAUAAAUGUUACUGUCUGAAUGUAAACUGCUAAAAAUGU